rnacentral:rRNA from 1 species
GUUUGAUCCUGGCUCAGGAUAAACGUUUGCGGCGUGCCUGAUGCAUGCAAGUCGAACGCCCUGAUUUUUCGCAAGAUUGAUCAGGGAGUGGCGAACGGCUGAGUAACGCGUAAGUGACCUAUCCCUAAGUGGGGGAUAACUUGCCGAAAGGCAGGCUAAUGCCGCAUGUGCUGGUAAGCGUAAGGUUUAUCAGUAAAGUUUUUUCGCUUGGGGAGGGGCUUGCGUCUGAUUAGCUAGUUGGUAGGGUAACGGCCUACCAAGGCGAUGAUCAGUAGCUGGUCUGAGAGGACGACCAGCCAGACGGGGACUGAGAUACGGCCCUGACUCCUACGGGAGGCAGCAGCAAGGAAUUUUGCGCAAUGGGCGAAAGCCUGACGCAGCGACGCCGCGUGGGGGAUGACGGCCUUCGGGUUGUAAACCCCUUUUCAUGAGGAAGAAAUCUGACGGUACUCGUGGAAUAAGUCUUGGCUAACUACGUGCCAGCAGCCGCGGUAAUACGUAGAAGGCGAACGUUAUCCGGAUUUACUGGGCGUAAAGAGGGUGUAGACGGUUUUUUAAGUCAGUUGUGAAAUCUGCCGACUCAAUCGGGAGACUGCAAUUGAUACUGGAGAGCUUGAGGGCAUCAGAAGAAAGCGGAAUUCACGGUGUAGCGGUGAAAUGCGUAGAUAUCGUGAGGAACACCAGUGGCGAAGGCGGCUUUCUAGGAUGCUCCUGACGUUGAGGCCCGAAAGUGUGGGGAGCGAAACGGAU